rnacentral:rRNA from 1 species
GAAAGAUUUCUUCGGAAUGAAUUUGAUUUAGUUUAGUGGCGGACGGGUGAGUAACGCGUGAGUAACCUGCCUUCAAGAGGGGGAUAACAUUCUGAAAAGAAUGCUAAUACCGCAUGACAUAUCGGAACCACAUGGUUCUGAUAUCAAAGAUUUUAUCGCUUGAAGAUGGACUCGCGUCCGAUUAGUUAGUUGGUGAGGUAACGGCUCACCAAGACCGCGAUCGGUAGCCGGACUGAGAGGUUGAACGGCCACAUUGGGACUGAGACACGGCCCAGACUCCUACGGGAGGCAGCAGUGGGGGAUAUUGCGCAAUGGGGGCAACCCUGACGCAGCAACGCCGCGUGAAGGAUGAAGGUUUUCGGAUUGUAAACUUCUUUUAUUAAGGACGAAAAAUGACGGUACUUAAUGAAUAAGCUCCGGCUAACUACGUGCCAGCAGCCGCGGUAAUACGUAGGGAGCAAGCGUUGUCCGGAUUUACUGGGUGUAAAGGGUGCGUAGACGGCUUUGCAAGUCAGAUGUGAAAUCUAUGGGCUCAACCCAUAAACUGCAUUUGAAACUGUAGAGCUUGAGUGAAGUAGAGGUAAGCGGAAUUCCUAGUGUAGCGGUGAAAUGCGUAGAUAUUAGGAGGAACAUCAGUGGCGAAGGCGG